rnacentral:rRNA from 1 species
UGGGGUGCGAUUGACGCUGAGGCUCGAAAGUGCGGGUAUCGAACAGGAUUAGAUACCCUGGUAGUCCGCACAGUAAACGAUGAAUGCUCGUCAUCGGCGACAGACAGUCGGUGACCUAGGGAAACCAUUAAGCAUUCCACCUGGGGAGUACGCCGGCAACGGUGAAACUCAAAGGAAUUGACGGGGGCCCGCACAAGCGGAGGAACAUGUGGUUUAAUUCGAUGAUACGCGAGGAACCUUACCCGGGCUUGAAUUGCAGGAGAACUCGGCAGAGAUGCCAAGGUCCUUCGGGACUCCUGUGAAGGUGCUGCAUGGUUGUCGUCAGCUCGUGCCGUGAGGUGUCGGCUUAAGUGCCAUAACGAGCGCAACCCUUGCUGUCAGUUGCCAUCAGGUAGAGCUGGGCACUCUGGCGGGACUGCCAUCGCAAGAUGUGAGGAAGGUGGGGAUGACGUCAAAUCAGCACGGCCCUUACGUCCGGGGCUACACACGUGUUACAAUGGGGGGUACAGAAUGCUGCUGUCGCGCGAGCGCCGGCCAAUCAUUAAAUCCCCUCUCAGUUCGGACCGGAGUCUGCAACCCGACUCCGCGAAGCUGGAUUCG